CAGUAGCCGCGGUAAUACGGAGGGUGCGAGCGUUAAUCGGAAUUACUGGGCGUAAAGAGUGCGUAGGUGGUUAAUUAAGUUAUCUGUGAAAUUCCAGGGCUUAACCUGGGCAGGUCAGAUAAUACUGGUUAACUCGAGUAUGGGAGAGGGUAGUGGAAUUUCCGGUGUAGCGGUGAAAUGCGUAGAGAUCGGAAGGAACACCAGUGGCGAAGGCGGCUACCUGGCCUAAUACUGACACUGAGGCACGAAAGCGUGGGGAGCAAACAGGAUUAGAGACCCCGGUAGUCCCUGUCUCUUAUAC
rnacentral:rRNA from 1 species